CCACUACCUGCACUCAGACAGUAGAAGGAAAUAAAAUAAGAUCAAAGUCUGGUUUUACUGGGGAAAAAUCUUGCUGUAUAGUGGGGGUUCUUGGGCUCUUAGGAAGCAGGGGAGGAUGCAGGAAAAAUGAAGGGUACAUUUGCUACCAAAAUCUUGUGCAACUUUUUUCUUGCUCUCUCUCUCUUUGGAAGAGACUUUUUUGCAGUCAGCUGGGGAGACUUCCCCUGCCCAUCUUAUCAAGAGCAGGAGCAUGUAAAUGAGCAUAUUGAUAAGAAAAGGCUAUAUUUCAUAAGCCAUGGAAGAGCCUGUGCCUAUAUGAAGAGAUAUAUAGUCCUCUAUAGUUUAGGUACCCUCAGCCAAGAUCUGUGCUCCAUUAUCAAGAGAGCUAUACAAACUCAGAGACAGCACCCAUCCGGAAGAAUUUACACUCAAAACAGAUGA
rnacentral:lncRNA from 1 species